AACGAACGCUGGCGGCAGGCCUAACACAUGCAAGUCGAACGCCGUAGCAAUACGGAGUGGCAGACGGGUGAGUAACGCGUGGGAACAUACCCCUCGGUUCGGAAUAACUCAGGGAAACUUGAGCUAAUACCGGAUACGUCCGAGGUCUUAAUCGGCCUUGGAGAAAGAUUUAUCGCCGGAGGAUUGGCCCGCGUCUGAUUAGCUUGUUGGUGAGGUAAUGGCUCACCAAGGCGACGAUCAGUAGCUGGUCUGAGAGGAUGAUCAGCCACAUUGGGACUGAGACACGGCCCAAACUCCUACGGGAGGCAGCAGUGGGGAAUAUUGGACAAUGGGCGAAAGCCUGAUCCAGCCAUGCCGCGUGAGUGAUGAAGGCCUUAGGGUUGUAAAGCUCUUUUACCCGGGAAGAUAAUGACGAUACCGGGAGAAUAAGCCCCGGCUAACUUCGUGCCA
rnacentral:rRNA from 1 species